CUCCCCCAAAUCAAGGUCAAGGGGAACCUAUCCUUCCUGUCUGCUGUAGAAGCAGGAACGCACAGCACUGAUUGGCCGAGAGACUGCUUCAUGAUGUCCAAUGUGAGUCCUGGAAUUCAUUAUGUUCUGUUUCAGUAUUUCUUCUACUCUGUAUUGGAUCCUUGCUAAUGGGGAAGAAGUGGAACAUAUGAAACUGAUGUGGGUCUGUGUGGGUGAGAGAAUGAGUGAGCAGGAGCCUUGCUCUUGUGCCUCACUGCAUCCAGGCGGACAUGCUGGAACUGACCAGAGACCAGUUCUAGUUUUUCACACGUGGUUCUCCAGAUACUCACCUGCUCCCUCAUGCUU